GUAUCUGUCUGUGGCUGUUGAGAUUUCAUCGCGCGUUCCUAACGAUAACGACGACGACGACGACGCGCUUCCUCCUCGAAACCCCACCAUCCAAAACCUACGACUCCAUCUUCUCCCUUCGAUCGCUCUUCGGAUUCGCCGUUUGAUCGACGCAGAAUCAGUCACCUUCCAUCGAUCUCGCGCGCUUCGCUGCCGCCGAGCGCUGGGAACCGCCGGGUCGCGAGGUUUUAGGGUUGGAUACGAGAGGAGCGGCGGCGGAUGAGCGGUUGCCGCGGCGGCGAGAGGGGCGGAGGAGAGCCGGAAGGAUGGCACAGCCAGAAUUGGCUCCCCGAGGGAGCUGGGUGGCGUCGGCUUACAGGGGCAUGUCCGCCGACAAUAUCAAGGGCCUGGUGCUUGCCCUCUCCUCGAGCGCCUUCAUCGGCGCCAGCUUCAUCAUCAAGAAGAAGGGCCUAAAGAAGGCUGCGGCCUCCGGGAUUAGGGCUGGGGUCGGAGGUUAUUCUUACUUAUACGAGCCACUUUGGUGGAUUGGCAUGAUCACAAUGAUCGUGGGUGAAGCUGCCAAUUUUGCUGCUUACGCAUUUGCUCCGGCCAUUCUUGUGACUCCUCUUGGUGCACUUAGCAUAAUAAUCAGUGCGGCAUUAGCACAUAUUAUACUACGGGAAAGGCUGAAUAUUUUGGGUAUUGUUGGCUGUGUUCUUUGUGUUGUGGGAUCAACGACAAUUGUUCUCCAUGCUCCACAGGAGAGGGAAAUCGAAUCCGUGAAGGAAGUGUGGAAUCUUGCUACCGAACCAGCCUUCCUCUGCUAUGCGACUAUCGUGGUUGCAGUUAUUUUGGUGCUCAUUUUUUGUUAUAUCCCUCGGUAUGGGCAGACAAAUAUAAUGUUUUAUGUUGGUGUCUGUUCCCUAGUUGGUUCUUUAUCGGUCAUGAGUGUCAAAGCUCUUGGGAUUGCUCUAAAAUUAACAUUUUCAGGAAUGAAUCAAUUGAUAUACCCACAAACUUGGGCUUUCACCAUUGUGGUACUUAUUUGUGUGGUUACACAAAUGAACUAUCUAAAUAAGGCACUUGAUACGUUUAAGACGGCAGUUGUAUCACCAAUUUACUAUGUGAUGUUUACAUCGUUGACCAUUUUGGCUAGCACGAUCAUGUUCAAGCAGGAAUGGGAUGGGCAGAACCCGACGCAGAUCGUCACGGAGAUGUGCGGUUUCGUGACGAUUCUUUCAGGGACAUUCCUGCUUCACAAGACGAAGGACAUGGCCGACGGUGGUCUUGCGACAUCGCCGUCGCGAUUCCACAAGCAUGCCGAUGAGAACGGUUACACCUACGAAGGAAUUCCUCUCAAGUGUCAUGAGCCUUCGAGGGCGCCAUGAGAACUCAACAACUCAGCCAGCCAGUAGAGGAUGCUACCAACUUUGCUAACCAAACCUCAAUAUUUAUGAUCCAAGUUCAAUGAGGGGUGCUGAAUAAUGUUAUGAUCUGGGAGCUUAAAGUUUAUUCAUGUCAUUAGACUUCGGAUGGCCCGCAGCACAUCAUUGACAAGAUUGUCAAGAUAACAUAAGCAUGAAAUUGAAGUUGUGCACUCAUAGAAGAACACAUCAACAGGAGAUGGAAGUAAUAAAAUAGAGGUUGGAUAUGAGGUGGGGGAUGCCAAAGUUCAAAAGGGGCAUCAGUUCUUCUGAACUAACUAUGCUUGAAAGCCACAGAGAAGGAAUCAUGCACUACCUUUGCUUUCACUCUGCAAUCCCUGUCAAGAAUAUGAAGAAGAGUUUACUAUGAAGAAGGAAGAAGCAAAUGCAAAGAGUUAAAACGUAUCGAAAUUUUUCUGAUGCAACACACCGUAUAAGGAAUUUUAAGCUCUUUAUUGUCUUUGAAGAGGUAUAAUUAACAUUG